rnacentral:rRNA from 1 species
CCAGACUCCUACGGGAGGCAGCAGUGAGGAAUAUUGGUCAAUGGGUGAGAGCCUGAACCAGCCAAGUCGCGUGAAGGACGACGGUUCUAUGGAUUGUAAACUUCUUUUGUAGAGGAAUAAUGGCAGCUACGUGUAGCUGAGAUGCAUGUACUCUACGAAUAAGUAUCGGCUAACUCCGUGCCAGCAGCCGCGGUAAUACGGAGGAUACGAGCGUUAUCCGGAAUUAUUGGGUUUAAAGGGUGCGUAGGUGGCGUAUUAAGUCAGUGGUGAAAAGCUGCAGCUCAACUGUAGUCUUGCCGUUGAAACUGAUAUGCUAGAGAGGAGACGAGGUAUGCGGAAUGUGUGGUGUAGCGGUGAAGUGCAUAGAUAUCACACAGAACGCCGAUUGCGAAGGCAGCGUACCAGGCUCCGUCUGACACUGAAGCACGAAAGCGUGGGGAUCAAACAGGAUUAGAUACCCUGGUAGUCCACGCAGUAAACGAUGAAUACUAGAUUUUUGCGAUAUAGUGUAAGAGUCUAAGCGAAAGCGAUAAGUAUUCCACCUGGGGAGUACGCCGGCAACGGUGAAACUCAAAGGAAUUGACGGGGGCCCGCACAAG